CGCCGGUGUCGGGAGGAACCCAGGGACUGGGAGUCCCUGUAUCCUGAGAUGGAGUCACCUGAGAAUCCACAGCAAGUCCUAACCAGGGAUGGGUCUGCGUGGUUAAGGAAGGUUGGCUUCAGAACUGGGCCAGGGGCACUGCUUUGCUUUUGCUGUUUUGAUCAGCUCUCUGCCUGUAGGAGACAAGGAAAACCAAUGGGAACAGAUAGGGUCUCUCUCUCUGCCACCCAGGCCAGAGUGCAGUUGACGCAGGGCAGGGGAGCCCCGAAAUGGAGCAUAGUGUGUCUGGAACUGGUGGGUUCUUGGUCUCACUGACUUCAAGAAUGAAGCCACGGACCCUCGCGAAAUGAGGCUUCUCCCCAGGACCAGCAUUCCAUGAAGGCAGCCCUUUUCUAGAUGGAGAAAACAGAACCUGAAGGCACCCGUUUCCCUAAACUGCUCUCGCUCAUGUUUCUACAGGGCCUGGAGCUGAUACGAAAAACCUCCCUUCUUUCCCAAAUGGUCCCCAGCUUCCCCGUUCACUGAAGGCCCUGCAGUCGGGAACAGUCAGGACUUUGCACCCAGUUGUUUUGGGUGUUUGGACGACCCUUCCUCUUGUGUGAUUCAUGGACCCGCAGCAUUGCAUCACCCGUGAGCUUUUGGAAUUGAAGACUCUCAGGGCUCACCCGGGAGGACCUGCUGGGCCAGAAUCUGCAUUUUAACAAGAUACCCAGGAAAGAAUGUGCUGGAGAAAAACAGAGACUCCCUCUGGCCUAGAGCUUCACAAGCUUAGCCCCUUCCAGGAGCCACAGAGGAGUUGGGGCAUCGGGAAAGUCUUGGAGGAUACAAGUCUACAGGUGUAUCCAGCAGCUCCAGAGAGACAGCAACCAGCGAGAAGGGGUCAUGAUGAUGGUGGUGGUUUUGUCAAAAAGAAAAGGGGGAUAUGCAGGGAAAAGAAAGAGAGAUCAGACAGUUACUGUGUCUAUAUAGAAAGGGAAGACAUAAGAGACUCCAUUUUGUAAAAGACCUGUACUUUAAACAAUUGCUUUGCUGAGAUGUUCUUAACCUGUAGCUUUGCCCCAGCCAGUUUGACCCAACCACUUCGACCCAACCUGGAGCUCACAAAAACAUGUGUUGUAUGAAAUCAAGGUUUAAGGGAUGUAGGGCUGUGCAGGACUUGCCUUGUUAACAAAAUGUUUCCAAGCAGUAUACUUGGUAAGUCAUUGCCAUUCUCUAGUCUCAAUAAACCAGGGGCACAAUACACUGUGGAAAGCGGCAGGGAGCCCUGCCCUUGAAAGCGGCAUAUUGUCUAAGGUUUCUACCCAUGUGAUAGUCUGAAAAGUGGCCUCAUGGGAGGAGAAAGACCUGACGGUCCCCCAGCCUGACACCCGUAAAAGGUCUGUGCUGAGGUGGAUUAGUCAAAGAGGAAAGCCUCUUGCAGUUGAGAUAGAGGAAGGCCACUGUCUCCUGCCUGUCCCUGGGAACUGAAUGUCUUGGUAUAAAACCCAAUUGUACAUUUGUUCAAUUCUGAGAUGGGAGAAGAACCGCCCUAUGGUGGGAGGCGAGACAUGUUUACAGCAAUGCUGCCUUGUUAUUCUUUACUCCACUGAGAUGUUUGGGUGGAGAGAAACAUAAAUCUGGCUUAUGUGCACGUCCAGUCAUAGUACCUUCCCUUGAACUUCAUUAUGACAUAGAUUCUAUUGCUCACAUUUUUGUUGCUGACCUUCUCCUUAUUAUCACCCUGCCCUCCUACUACAUUCCCUUUUGCUGAAAUAAUGAAGAUAAUAAUCAAUAAAAACUGAGGGAACUCAGAGACCGGUGCCAAUGCAGGUCCUUGAUAUGCUAUGCGCCGGUCCCCUGGGCCCACUGUUGUUUCUCUAUACUUUAUCUCUGUGUCUUAUUUCUUUUCUGUCUCUCAGCCUACCUGGCUAGAAAUACCCACAGGUGUGGAAGGGCAGGCCACCCCUUCAGUAUGAGAUUACAGGCAUGAAUAACUCCACCUGACCACCUACCUCACUCUUGAGAGGCCAGAAGUGAUGCUGGAACUUCCUUCCUCUGUGGGUUAAAAAGGGAAAAUUAGGGAGAACACAAGGCAGGAGAGAUGCAGCGAUGGAUAUGUCUAUAUGGAGCUUCUAUCUGCAUCCAGUAGAAAAUGCAUUUCUAGGCACCAGGUUUAACAGCAAAAACCUGGAGUCUUGUCUGUUAGCAUUCUCCUUCCCCACAAACCUGAGAGGGAAUACAUUUGC
rnacentral:lncRNA from 1 species